UCCAUUUGCCCUUUCGGGCGUUUCCUCCCAAGACUUAGGCCGUCUCCUUUGAGGCGGCUUUUUCUUUUUCAGGC
rnacentral:sRNA from 1 species